AUUUUAAGCUCAGCACAGCAAGGUAUUGACUUCUCUCUUUAAUAAAUUUCAGCACAUUUGACAGCAAAUGAAAUCUAUUAUUCUAGACCUAAACUUUAAAAAGCAAUAUAUUUUAGAAACAGUUGAGACAAACUUUCCCUUGCAAGUUAGUUUAAAAUAUCUUUUAUUAUCCCAUGAACAUUUAUUUAUACCAGAUCCUUAGAUUUUCUGUUUUUAAUUUUUUGGUGAAAUUAACGACCCAGCUACUGAAAGGGUGCCAUCUUUCUAACGAGUUCUUCAGAUUUUAUAUGGAGCCCUACUCAGCUGGGCAACUGGGCUGAUCCUAUUCAGAAAAGAGACAGGAGCAAACUGUAUAGAAAAUAAAAACUUUAUUUUUUCAAGUUUAUAAGAUAGUUCCCAUUACAUACAACAUUAUGGUCAAGGACUCUACAGCCACGAAUGCCCGCAGUCACAUAAAUAUAUCCAAUCCAAUCAAUGCCUCUUCCUGCCAAAUGAGGCAUCUGAAGUCCAGAGGGUCACGUUUUGAGUAGAAGUCGUCCUUAAUGGGAUGGCUCCUGUCAGUGCAUUAGGAACUAGCCAAGGAGCCUUGCUUGCUGGAGCUAUCUGACGAGAGGAGAGGAAGGGACAGAGGGCCUGCCGAUCGGAGAUGGGACAGAACUAGAUUUUCUCUCGUCGUUUAAGAUAUCUUAGAAUCUCAGAAUUCAGAUUUGGCUUCUGUAGUAUGAAUAUAUGAGGAGUUCCAAUUUUUAGAUGAAAAAGGCAAUCAAUUUAGUGGUAAGAAAUAGAAGCCUGCUUAAUAGGGGCCCUGACUGCCCCUUUCUGCAGGAGCAAGGAGAGGAGGCUCAUCACCCCUUGGCUUAGACCACUGCUCUCCCAGGAAAAGGAAGAACAGAAUAAGGGCUCUGCCCCUAUAUUCCUCUUCCCCGUGGUUCAGUGGCACUGACAGCUAUCAAGGUAGUGAACAUCUAGAAGCUCUCUAUGGUGCAGCUGGAACUUGCCAAUCAGAUUCUACUUGGAACUUUAAAGCUGAGAUGGUGUAAACUGCGAACAAGCUGUGGCACAAGUCUCCUGGGACACUAGCUUUGCCCCCCAACUUGAGCAGAAGACAGGAAGACCCCAAACCAAAUAACAGCCCAAAUAGGCAUCUAAAGCUGGAGCAGGCAUCCAUUCUCCUGGUCACCACCAUCUGCCCCAGGGGUAGAGACAGGGUGAUGCUAAGGCACAGUCAAUUUUACAUUCGAAAGUCAAGCCACCUCUUAAACCCAGGACACACCUGACAACUCCAGAUCCUCUACUAGAGAGAGCUCUCACCAUGCAAUGUGCAGACCCAUCUCAUGGAACCCACAGUGCCCAGCGUGGGGAAGGACUCAUCAUGUGGCUAAUUUGGGACUCUUUCUAGUAAAGACAGCUUUUCCGCUGACGAAAGGACCCAGAGUAUCCUUUGGCCCUCAGCUUCCAACAGCUCUUGGUGCUGCCCACUUAUUUUCCUUUCCAGAUCUUUGUGCUGGGGAGGAGGAAAACAGGGUCAAAGAGGAACACUGUGUUCCCUGGACAAUUCAUUUUAGAAAGAGGAGCCAGGAAGCUCCCGCUUUCUGUCUGCCCUCUAAAUGAGGGCAGUGACAAUAAGAACAGAGGCUGCUCUGCUCAGAGAGCUUCCUCACCUCUCUUAGCCAAUUUCAAGUUUCUUUUGCAAAGACCUGAGCUGGGCGCUCAGGGCAGGAGAGAAAAGGCCAUUGAAAAAGGAGUCCGCAUCAUAUUCUAGGGAUAAAGAGCUUCUCCCAAAGGGCAGGGAGAGAAGUGUGGGUGUGUGGGACCUGUGUGCAUGAUGGCAGUGCCACUCCACAGCCUCACAAGCCUGAAGCACAGCACCAACAGGGUGGCCUGUGUCCAGGGCAAGAAACCAAAAGCUAUACUGCUAGCAGAGGGAGGGCUUGGGGCCUGGAAGAAAAGACCUAGCCUAGAGUCUUCUAAGAUCAAUUGUCAAGCAAGGCAGAGCAGCAUCUGGGCAACUAUGCUGAACACAGACCAGGGAGGGCUGGCCUCAGACUAUAUACCUCCAUCCCCUCCCCGACCCCACCAAUGGAAACAAGGCCAAAAAGACAGCUAAGCAAUGAGCACUGACUUCAGCUCCUCUCCACAAACCUCUUCCCUAAAAUUGUGAGUCAUGAGGCACUUUCUCCUUCAGUUCUGGAGAAAUGUGUAUACCUGCCUUUCUCUGCUGCUAUCUGGGUGACCUAGCAUUGGGAGGAGUCUGGCUUCUGGUGCUGCAACGUCUCUGGAAAUGGAUAUGCCAAAUCUCUGGGGACAAGCAAUUACAGCUGGGGCUGGCCAAGUGAUGCCUCCUAUUAAGGACCCAGACUGCAUCUCUCUGAGAUGCUUAUAUAAUCACCUUUCUCUGUGCAGCCUGGGAGAGGCUGAACUUCCUCAGCUCUAGGGAAGUUUAUCCUGCUUGAGCAGAUGCCCACGUAGGUCUUGGAAGGAUGAAGCAUCGACAAACACAGCUGGGCUGUAAGGAUGGGACCAGUGCCUGGCACCUGCCAUUCUUCUCAGAGGCCAGGCAGAGAGAGAUUCCUGCAUUUGACCCAGGGUUAAGUUUUCAGGCGUGGAACAGGGGGUCCAAUACCCUCAUUUAAAUCAGGAAUGUCUUUCUGGCCUUCUGGUUUCCCAUUUUAGAAUGGAAUUUGAGAAGCAGAAAGGGUGUUCCACAGGAAAACUGGAUUUUGAUCACAGCAAUCUCUUUAGUUUCAGAGAUCUGGGUAAAUAUAUGCCCAGAAUACCCUUUAUAGGCCUUUAGGACUUCAAAGGAAGUCAAAUACAUUGGUGGUUUUUGCCAAAAUGUAGUUAUGAGCCAAUUCUUAGACCUGAUUUAAAUUCUUGGGUCCAAAGCCCAGGGGUGGCCAGAGCUGCACAGAGGUGAUGUGA
ensembl:lncRNA